CAGAGAUGGACGUAAUGCCAGCCAGAGCCAAAGACGUAUGACUUUUUCCUGCAAGGUUAGGGGUUGGAGCCACUGUUGCCAUCUUCCUGAAGAGACACAAAUAUUUCUGUAACAUUGUUGAAGCCCUGAAUCCAGCCCUACUCCUAGACUUCUGUUUUGAUAAAAAUAACAACACUCAGAAGCAGAGACUACACAGCUGCUAAAAUGGAUAGGAGGGAAGGAAGAGGAGAUCCUGACCAAAUGCUUUACGUGUUGGCAUGCAAGAAGUUUGGAUCAACACUUGAUGUUUCCUAGCAGUUUGCCAGAGGCUUGGGAGCUCCCUGAUGAAAGAAUAAGAAGUAGCAUUUUGAGGCGGGAUGCAAACAAAGAGACCAUGCCAGACUGUACCCACAGCCUCAGAGAACAAGCCCUAUUGGUAUUCUCAGGGAGCAUUGAAGGCACACUCCAGCCAUGACCUUGCUAGGCUUCAUCACUGUACUGGGCAAAGGGCUUGGAGCUGGGAGCAGGAGAGGGUUCCAGUUCAGGCUGCUACUGACUAACUUGGAGCCUCAUGUUAC